rnacentral:rRNA from 1 species
AUACAGAGGGUGCGAGCGUUAAUCGGAAUUACUGGGCGUAAAGCGCGCGUAGGCGGUUUGUUAAGUCGGAUGUGAAAUCCCCGGGCUCAACCUGGGAACUGCAUUCGAAACUGGCAGGCUAGAGUAUGGUAGAGGGAAGUGGAAUUCCGGGUGUAGCGGUGAAAUGCGUAGAUAUCCGGAGGAACAUCAGUGGCGAAGGCGGCUUCCUGGACCAAUACUGACGCUGAGGUGCGAAAGCGUGGGGAGCAAACAGGAUUAGAAACCCCGGUAGUCC